rnacentral:rRNA from 1 species
CCCUUAGAUGUUCUGGGCCGCACGCGCGCUACACUGAUGAAUUCAACGAGCACUAACCUGUGCCGAAAGGUUCGGGUAAUCUUGUGAAAUUUCAUCGUGAUGGGGAUUGAUUAUUGCAAUUUUUAAUCAUAAACGAGGAAUGCCUAGUAAGCGUGAGUCAUCAGCUCACGUUGAUUACGUCCCUGCCCUUUGUACACACCGCCCGUCGCUCCUACCGAUUGAAUGUGCCAGUGAAAAGUUCGGAUUGGAGGUAGGAAACGGCAACGUAUCCUAUUUCCGAGAAAAUCUUUAAACUUUCCCAUUUAGAGGAAGGAGAAGUCGUAACA